rnacentral:lncRNA from 1 species
CGGAAAUGAGGUCCUUCUGGUGGGAGCAGGGUUGUAUGGAUCACUCUCAGUCCUUUCUCUGUUGUUUUUUCAUUCGCUUUGGAUGCAGUUUUCUCAUCCAUGUGACAGGAUUGUGUAAUUCUGCCCCUUUGAGCCUGACUUGCUCUCAAUCAUCUGUGACCAACUGAAUUCAGGACCUUCAGAUUCCCUUCUGUAUGCUCCAGCACGCUAUGAAGAUUUGUUGCC